UACGUAGGGGGCAAGCGUUGUCCGGAUUCAUUGGGCGUAAAGGGUGCGUAGGUGGCGGGGUAAGUCAGGUGUGAAAUCUCGGAGCUCAACUCCGAAACUGCACUUGAUACUGCCUUGCUCGAGUACUGGAGAGGAGAUUGGAAUUUACGGUGUAGCAGUGAAAUGACGUAGAUAUCGUAAGGAAGACCAGUGGCGAAGGCGAAUCUCUGGACAGUUACUGACACUGAGGCACGAAGCCAGGGGAGCGAAACGGG
rnacentral:rRNA from 1 species